rnacentral:rRNA from 1 species
AUUGAACGCUGGCGGCAGGCUUAACACAUGCAAGUCGAGCGAGCGGCGGACGGGUGAGUAAUGACUGGGCAACUGCCUGAUGGAGGGGGAUAACUACUGGAACCGGUAGCUAAUACCGCAUACCAUCAGAUGUGCCCAGAGGGGAUUAGCUAGUCGGUGGGGUAAUGGCUCACCUAGGAGACGAUCCCUAGCUGGUCUGAGAGGAUGACCGGCCACACUGGAACUGAGACACGGUCCAGACUCCUACGGGAGGCAGCAGUGGGGAAUAUUGGACAAUGGGCGAAAGCCUGAUGCAGCCAUGCCGCGUGUGUGAAGAAGGUCUUCGGGUUGUAAAGCACUUUCAGCGGGGAGGCGUUACCCGCAGAAGAAGCACCGGCUAACUCCGUGCCAGCCGCCGCGGUAAUUC